GCUUAAAAUGCAAAUAUGAAAUGGCUUUAGUUGAAAGAGUAGUUAAAUAGCAGUGGUGGAAAAAGUACCCAAUUGUCCUACAUAAAAGUAAGAUACCUUAAUAGAAAAUCAAGUAAAAGUGAAAGUCACCCAGUAAAAUACUACUUAAAUAAAAGUCUAAAGGUAUUUGGUUUUAAAUAUACUGUAAUGAAACGGCAGGGAGCAGGUCUUCGAGCCCGAGGUCCGGCGCGCUAUCGACUGUCCGCAAAAGCAUGCUCGAGCGGCAGAAUCGAUUUCCGCGCUUAUAAACCCAGGUUCGUUACACUACUCCCUCCUUUCAAAGAGCGCGUCCUCGCGCUAGCUUGCGACUCUAGGUCUUACAGGAACGCGCUCACCGGCCAAGCACACGCACUGUCGUGUAUGCAAGGUCCGAUCACUUCUGACACCAGUGUAAUGAAACAGGCAUGGAGCACGUCUCGAACCCUCGACCUUCGAGCCCGCGGUCCGGCGCGCUAUCGACUGUGUCGCAAAAGCAUGUUCGAGCGGCAGCGUCGAUUUCCGCUGAAAACCCAGGGUCGUCACACUACUGAAGUAUCAAAAUUUCUCUUCUCUCUAGAAGAGGAAUGGUUUGGAGCAACCCAUCCUGGAGUGGGAUGGGAGCUCACUCUCCCUGCUGCCCUGGUUGUUUUUGGUGUGAUAUUACUAUGGAGG
ensembl:lncRNA